ACUGCUCAGUAACACGUGGACAACCUGCCUUUAGGUUGGGUAUAAACCCGGGAAACUGGGUAUAAUACCCGAUAGGUCUCGAUUGCUGGAAUGCAUCGAGAUUUAAAGCUCCGGCGCCUAAGGAUGGGUCUGCGGCCUAUCAGGUAGUAGUGGGUGUAGCGUACCUACUAGCCUACGACGGGUACGGGUUGUGAGAGCAAGAGCCCGUAGAUGGAUUCUGAGACACGAAUCCAGGCCCUACGGGGUGCAGCAGGCGCGAAAACUUUACAAUGCUGGCAACAGCGAUAAGGGAACCUCGAGUGCCAGGUUACAAAUCUGGCUGUCGAGAUGCCUAAAAAGCAUUUCAUAGCAAGGGCCGGGCAAGACCGGUGCCAGCCGCCGCGGUAACACCGGCGGCUCGAGUGGUAACCGUUAUUAUUGGGUCUAAAGGGUCUGUAGCCGGCCGGAUAAGUCUCUUGAGAAAUCUGGCAGCUUAACUGUCAGGCUUUCAGGAGAUACUGUCUGGCUCGAGGCCGGGAGAGGUGAGAGGUACUUCAGGGGUAGGGGUGAAAUCUUGAAAUCCUUGAAGGACCACCAGUGGCGAAGGCGUCUCACCAGAACGGACCUGACGGCAAGGGACGAAAGCUAGGGGCACGAACCGGAUUAGAUACCCGGGUAGUCCUAGCCGUAAACGAUACUCGCUAGGUGUCGGCCACGGUGCGACCGUUGUCGGUGCCGUAGGGAAGCCGUGAAGCGAGCCACCUGGGAAGUACGGCCGCAAGGCUGAAACUUAAAGGAAUUGGCGGGGGAGCAC
rnacentral:rRNA from 1 species